rnacentral:rRNA from 1 species
AACUUUCAGCAACGGAUCUCUUGGCUCUGGCAUCGAUGAAGAACGCAGCGAAAUGCGAUAAGUAAUGUGAAUUGCAGAAUUCAGUGAAUCAUCGAAUC